UCCGUAGGUGAACCUGCGGAAGGAUCAUUAGUGAAUUGCUCUUUGAGCGUUAACUACAUCCAUCUACACCUGUGAACUGUUGAUCAACUUCGGUUGAUUGCUUUACAAACAUUGUGUAAUGAACGUCAUGUUAUUAUAACAAAAAUAACUUUCAACAACGGAUCUCUUGGCUCUCGCAUCGAUGAAGAACGCAGCGAAAUGCGAUAAGUAAUGUGAAUUGCAGAAUUCAGUGAAUCAUCGAAUCUUUGAACGCAACUUGCGCUCUCUGGUAUUCCGGAGAGCAUGCCUGUUUGAGUAUCAUGAAAUCUCAACCAUUAGGGUUUCUUAAUGGCUUGGAUUUGGGCGUUGCCAGUAGCCUGGCUCGCCUUAAAAGAGUUAGCGUGUUUAACUUGUCGUAUCUGGCGUAAUAAGUUUCGCUGGAGUAGACUUGAGAAGUGCGCUUCUAAUCGUCUUCGGACAAUUCUUGAACUCUGGUCUCAAAUCAGGUAGGACUACCCGCUGAACUUAAGCAUAUCAAUAAGCGGAGGAAA
rnacentral:sRNA from 1 species